rnacentral:misc_RNA from 1 species
AACAAGGCGUACCUGCGGACCUGCGGAAGGAUCAUUACCGAGUUUACAACUCCCAAACCCCUGUGAACAUACCUAUACGUUGCCUCGGCGGAUCAGCCCGCGCCCUGUAAAAAGGGACGGCCCGCCCGAGGACCCCUAAACUCUGUUUUUAGUGGAACUUCUGAGUAAAACAAACAAAUAAAUCAAAACUUUUAACAAUGGAUCU